rnacentral:rRNA from 1 species
GGUUAAGCGACUAAGCGUACACGGUGGAUGCCCUGGCAGUCAGAGGCGAUGAAGGGCGUGCUAAUCUGCGAUAAGCGCCGGUAAGGUGAUAUGAACCGUUAUAACCGGCGAUACCCGAAUGGGGAAACCCAGUGUGACUCGUCACACUAUCAUUAACUGAAUCCAUAGGUUAAUGAGGCGAACCGGGGGAACUGAAACAUCUAAGUACCCCGAGGAAAAGAAAUCAACCGAGAUUCCCCCAGUAGCGGCGAGCGAACGGGGAGGAGCCCAGAGCCUGAAUCAGCAUGUGUGUUAGUGGAAGCGUCUGGAAAGGCGCGCGAUACAGGGUGACAGCCCCGUACACAAAAGCGCAUGUGCUGUGAGCUCGAUGAGUAGGGCGGGACACGUGGUAUCCUGUCUGAAUAUGGGGGGACCAUCCUCCAAGGCUAAAUACUCCUGACUGACCGAUAGUGAACCAGUACCGUGAGGGAAAGGCGAAAAGAACCCCGGCGAGGGGAGUGAAAAAGAACCUGAAACCGUGUACGUACAAGCAGUGGGAGCCCCACCACCAAAGCAUUCUCUGGUGUUGAAGGCCCUGCAAAGCAGCAUCGCGGUGGCGGAGCGUCGUUUGCGACGCCCAACACACAAAACAAGCGGUGAGUGCUUUGGGGUGGGGUGACUGCGUACCUUUUGUAUAAUGGGUCAGCGACUUAUAUUCUGUAGCAAGGUUAACCGAAUAGGGGAGCCGGAGGGAAACCGAGUCUUAAUUGGGCGUUAAGUUGCAGGGUAUAGACCCGAAACCCGGUGAUCUAGCCAUGGGCAGGUUGAAGGUUGGGUAACACUAACUGGAGGACCGAACCGACUAAUGUUGAAAAAUUAGCGGAUGACCUGUGGCUGGGGGUGAAAGGCCAAUCAAACCGGGAGAUAGCUGGUUCUCCCCGAAAGCUAUUUAGGUAGCGCCUCGUGAAUUCAUCUCCGGGGGUAGAGCACUGUUUCGGCUAGGGGGCCAUCCCGGCUUACCAACCCGAUGCAAACUGCGAAUACCGGAGAAUGUUAUCACGGGAGACACACGGCGGGUGCUAACGUCCGUCGUGAAGAGGGAAACAACCCAGACCGCCAGCUAAGGUCCCAAAGUCAUGGUUAAGUGGGAAACGAUGUGGGAAGGCCCAGACAGCCAGGAUGUUGGCUUAGAAGCAGCCAUCAUUUAAAGAAAGCGUAAUAGCUCACUGGUCGAGUCGGCCUGCGCGGAAGAUGUAACGGGGCUAAACCAUGCACCGAAGCUGCGGCAGCGACGCUGAUGUGUUGUUGGGUAGGGGAGCGUUCUGUAAGCCUGCGAAGGUGACCUGUGAGGGUUGCUGGAGGUAUCAGAAGUGCGAAUGCUGACAUAAGUAACGAUAAAGCGGGUGAAAAGCCCGCUCGCCGGAAGACCAAGGGUUCCUGUCCAACGUUAAUCGGGGCAGGGUGAGUCGACCCCUAAGGCGAGGCCGAAAGGCGUAGUCGAUGGGAAACGGGUUAAUAUUCCCGUACUUGGUGUUACUGCGAAGGGGGGACGGAGAAGGCUAUGUUGGCCGGGCGACGGUUGUCCCGGUUUAAGCGUGUAGGUGUGUGUUCCAGGUAAAUCCGGUUCACUUUAACACUGAGGCGUGAUGACGAGGCACUACGGUGCUGAAGCAACAAAUGCCCUGCUUCCAGGAAAAGCCUCUAAGCAUCAGGUAACAUCAAAUCGUACCCCAAACCGACACAGGUGGUCAGGUAGAGAAUACCAAGGCGCUUGAGAGAACUCGGGUGAAGGAACUAGGCAAAAUGGUGCCGUAACUUCGGGAGAAGGCACGCUGACACGUAGGUGAAGUGAUUUACUCACGGAGCUGAAGUCAGUCGAAGAUACCAGCUGGCUGCAACUGUUUAUUAAAAACACAGCACUGUGCAAACACGAAAGUGGACGUAUACGGUGUGACGCCUGCCCGGUGCCGGAAGGUUAAUUGAUGGGGUCAGCGCAAGCGAAGCUCCUGAUCGAAGCCCCGGUAAACGGCGGCCGUAACUAUAACGGUCCUAAGGUAGCGAAAUUCCUUGUCGGGUAAGUUCCGACCUGCACGAAUGGCGUAAUGAUGGCCAGGCUGUCUCCACCCGAGACUCAGUGAAAUUGAACUCGCUGUGAAGAUGCAGUGUACCCGCGGCAAGACGGAAAGACCCCGUGAACCUUUACUAUAGCUUGACACUGAACAUUGAGCCUUGAUGUGUAGGAUAGGUGGGAGGCUUUGAAGUGUGGACGCCAGUCUGCAUGGAGCCGACCUUGAAAUACCACCCUUUAAUGUUUGAUGUUCUAACGUGGACCCGUAAUCCGGGUUGCGGACAGUGUCUGGUGGGUAGUUUGACUGGGGCGGUCUCCUCCUAAAGAGUAACGGAGGAGCACGAAGGUUGGCUAAUCCUGGUCGGACAUCAGGAGGUUAGUGCAAUGGCAUAAGCCAGCUUGACUGCGAGCGUGACGGCGCGAGCAGGUGCGAAAGCAGGUCAUAGUGAUCCGGUGGUUCUGAAUGGAAGGGCCAUCGCUCAACGGAUAAAAGGUACUCCGGGGAUAACAGGCUGAUACCGCCCAAGAGUUCAUAUCGACGGCGGUGUUUGGCACCUCGAUGUCGGCUCAUCACAUCCUGGGGCUGAAGUAGGUCCCAAGGGUAUGGCUGUUCGCCAUUUAAAGUGGUACGCGAGCUGGGUUUAGAACGUCGUGAGACAGUUCGGUCCCUAUCUGCCGUGGGCGCUGGAGAACUGAGGGGGGCUGCUCCUAGUACGAGAGGACCGGAGUGGACGCAUCACUGGUGUUCGGGUUGUCAUGCCAAUGGCACUGCCCGGUAGCUAAAUGCGGAAGAGAUAAGUGCUGAAAGCAUCUAAGCACGAAACUUGCCCCGAGAUGAGUUCUCCCUGAGACUUUAGGUCUCCUGAAGGAACGUUGAAGACGACGACGUUGAUAGGCCGGGUGUGUAAGCGCAGCGAUGCGUUGAGCUAACCGGUACUAAUGAACCGUGAGGCUUAACCUU